GGAUGAAGGAUGGAAGAGACUACGAACACUGCUGUCUCCAACAUUCACCAGUGGAAAACUCAAGGAGAUGUUUCCCAUCAUUGGACAGUAUGGAGAUAUGUUGGUGAAAAA